UGGUUUUUUUUUUUUUUUCAGAGCACAAACUGAGCUCCAUUUCCUUCCUACUCAUCUUUCAAACCUCCACAGGUUCUUCCCACCGAGCUUUGCUGCGAGACUCCCUCUUCAAUCCAUCACAAUUCCCGGGGUUUAACAAUGGGAUGAGAGACAGAUCCAGGCAGGAAAAACCCCGGGCCAGAGCGUUCUGUGUCUCUGCAGCUGCAGCCAACGGAAAGACAAAUCACCGCUUUUAAUCCCAUUUUCCAGCUCCCACCGCAGAGGGGACCAGCCCCAGGAUGCAUCCACAGCCUCUGGAGCCUCCUGCGUUUUCAGGAAUCUGGGAAAAAAAAAGCCAAACCCACCCAGGCCUUCAAACCAACUCAAUGGCACUUGGGGGGGAAAAAAGCUCACUCGGAAACCCCCUGUCUCUGCAUGACCCCCGGGCGCUGAAUGAGGAACCUCUCAAUUAAAAAUUUCCCAUUGAGGCCGCCUGAAUGAGCCCUCGCCGGGGAAUUCUGCGCGCCUCAAUGGCCCGGGCCCUCAGCAAACAUUACGGAUUUCCCACAAUAUUUGUACACCUUCCUUUGUGGGCAUUUUUCCCUCCGCUGGAGCAGAAACCUUUAACACAUCCGCUCCCGGUGCUCCUUAGGGGCCGGCUCGGGGACAGCGGCUGGCGGGGCCACCACCGGGGCCACCACCGGGGCCACCACCGGGGCCACCCCGCGGGGCACAGCAGCCGCUCCCUGCUUGGAUUAUCCAGGAAUUCCAUGGAAAAACGCGGGGAUGGAGCUCUGCGACACCCCACGGCAAAACGCCGGGCUCGGGGACGCCUUUGGUGGCACUUUGGUGGCACUUUGGUGGCACUUUGAUGGCCCCAGGGAAAGCAGAGCCGCCACAAAGGGGACUCGAGCUGGGGACAAAAAAAAAGCCCCGCGACGCUUCAGGGCCCGGCUGACAGCUGUGAUUGUCGCGGCCUCAUUAAGCAUGCUAAUUAGCGCUGGCGGGGGUGGGCUCUGCGUGCUUCAGUCGGGAUUCAUCCCGGGAAAGGCGGAUAAAAGGCGGGAGGAGGGAGUGCGGGAAUGCGGCGUGCGGGGGGAGCGUCCACGGGACUCAUCCCGGGGAUCCAGGUGGGACAGGAGGCACGGAGGAGGGAGCUGAGGAUGCUCGGGGGUUGUUCCCAUCCUGGAGGUGAAACCCAGGGGUUAUUCCCAUCCUAGGAGGGAAAUCCAAGGCUAUUCCCAUCCUAGGAGGGAAAUAAUGGGAUUAUUCCCAUCCUAGGAGGGAAACCCAGGGGUUCUAACCCUGCUUUGCAGCCUCAGACUGGGCUGGAUGGGAAUAACUUCACGAUUCCCACCCCUAGGUAGGAACAACCCCUGGAUUUCUGCUCCAGGGUGGGAAGAACCCUGGAUGGACACUUUCCUUCCCUGGCAGUGUCCAAGGCCAGCCUUGGAGCAGCCUGGGACGGUGGCAGGGCAGGGAGGGGACAAGGGGAUGCUCGAGGUCCCUUCCAACCCCUCCCACCCCUUUUCCCGGGCACAGCUGGGACGGAGGAGCCGAACAGGAGCCUGGGGAUGGAAGCCAAGCACAGUUCCAGCCGGGAAUCCCUCCCCAGCAGCUUCCCGGGGCCGUGACCCCCUCAGGGAGUCCGACAGUAGCGCCUCUCCGGCUCCUGGCCCCUCCCUGGGAGCCAUCCAUGUGGAAUUCCUGCUCCAUGUGCUCUGCAGACGGCUGCGGCACGUGGAGGGGAAGAUUCCAAGGGCAAGGGACCCAAAUGAAGGCAUAAAUAAAUUCAAUUUAACGCC